rnacentral:misc_RNA from 1 species
GAUGAAGAACGCAGCGAAAUGCGAUAAGUAAUGUGAAUUGCAGAAUUCAGUGAAUCAUCGAAUCUUUGAACGCACAUUGCGCCCCCUGGUAUUCCGGGGGGCAUGCCUGUUCGAGCGUCAUUUCAACCUUCAAGCUCUGCUUGGUAUUGGGCCUGCGCUGGUCUCCCAGCGGGCCUCAAAAUCAGUGGCGGCGCCAUCUGGCUCUAAGCGUAGUAAUUCUUCUCGCUAUGGAGUCCUGGUGGAUGCUUGCCAUCAACCCCCAAUUUUUCUAUGGUUGACCUCGGAUCAGGUAGGGAUACCCGCUGAACUUAAGCAUAUCAAUAAGCGGAGGA